rnacentral:rRNA from 1 species
UACGGAGGAGGCAAGCGUUAUCCGGAAUUAUUGGGCGUAAAGCGUCCGUAGAUGGUCGUUUCACGUCUGCUGUCAAAGACCGGGGCUUAACCCCAGAAAGGCGGUGGAAACUGAACAGCUAGAGAGAGGUAGGGGUAGAGGGAAUUCCCAGUGUAGCGGUGAAAUGCGUAGAUAUUGGGAAGAACAUCAGUGGCGAAAGCGCUCUACUGGACCUUAUCUGACAUUGAGGGACGAAAGCUAGGGGAGCGAAUGGG